AGCCACUCAGAUGCUGCUAUGUGAAAGAGCCAUACUUGUUGCUUGCUGCUUGAACAUCUACUUUUUCUCCUCCAGUGUGUGAUAAACUUGGGAGAUCAUACACUGCAGUCGUGCCACUGGGGAAAAGACAGAGGAAAGGGGAAAGGGACAAGGAGGAAGAGAAGAAAAGGAGGAGGAAGAGAAGAAAAGGAGGAGAAAGAGCAGGAGGGAAAGAAGGCCCUGCCCCAUCGCUAAUGGAUGGUCCUAAGAGCCACACACACGACACCAUGAAGUCCUCACUGGCCACUGGAUGAAGGAAGACUGGCAGCUCUACUUCAAUUGUCUCAUCCUGGCACAACUAGAUCAAAAUCCAAAUACAAUCUGUGUGUGGAUGCUAUACCACAGGAAAUGGAAGAGGUACACAUUCUCCAAACAUCAGAUACUUUAUACAUAUAUUGUUUCAAAACUACAGAACCUCUGCAGAGAGAGUACUGAUGUCUUCACUGCGCAGAUGAGAAAGGUGAGAUUCAGUUGUUUGUCUGUCCCCACUCAUGGGGUGGUGUUUAUGUUACCCAAACUGUUUCCAAAAAGACUGUUGCUUUGAAAUAGGCAAGAUUUUAGGUUGAAG
rnacentral:lncRNA from 1 species